rnacentral:rRNA from 1 species
CAAGCGUAGAGCAUCAGCUGAUUAAUGUAGUAUCAUCGAAACUUUGAACGCACAUUGCGCCCGCCAGCAUUCUGGCGGGCAUGCCUGUUCGAGCGUCAUUUCAACCCUCAAGCUCUGCUUGGUGUUGGGGCCCUACAGCUGAUGUAGGCCCUCAAAGGUAGUGGCGGACCCUCCCGGAGCCUCCUUUGCGUAGUAACUUUACGUCUCGCACUGGGAUCCGGAGGGACUCUUGCCGUAAAACCCCCAAUUCUCCAAAGGCUGACCUCGAAUCAGGUAGGAAUACCCGCUGAACUUAAGCAUAUCAAUAAGCGGAGGAACUGCGUCUUUCUCCAUUCAAU